UAAAUGAAUAUUAGGUGAAUAUCUUCCGCUUCUCUCUGGUCUCUCUCCGAAGAUGAAGUCAAACAUAAAUUCGAUUCCGAAUCCAAACCCAACUUCUUUCGGUCUCGAACCUGAGCUGGACAACGACCUUGAUGACCUCGACGAAGAUGAAAACAUAGUUUACGAUGAUGAACAGUGGCAGGUUAAAUCCAGUAUCGGUCUCAAUUCCACCCUCGAUUUUGAGCAUUGGUUUGCGGCACACUCGUUUACUAUCACUGCGCUUUCAAGAAUUCUGCCAUCUUCUAUCUUUUCUCCGAUGUUUUUAUUGUUCUACUCUGCUCCCUCGCCACUCUCGGUCUCCUCUUCCAGCAAAUGACCAUUCAGGAUGACCGUGUCAAAUUGGUGAGGGAAGGAAAACAUCAGGCACUUUUAAGGCUGUGGUAGCUAUUGAGCAUGUGAUGGAGUCCAAGUCUAGUACGAAUUCUUCUCCGGGUUCUGUUCUGCAUCAAGACCAUGUUGGAGAUUUAUCAAAGGGUUGUCUGCGGAUGAAAGUGUCACUAUUAAUGAAAUUAGAAGAAAAAAGAGCCAAAGUGAGAAAACAGAGAAGAUACGUGAAAGAGGAGAAGAGGAAGAGAACCUUCAAGAGAUUCAAGCUCUAAGGUAAGGUGGGACUCUUUGGGUUAGUAAUUAUUAUACAAUCAAGGGUAGUAGAAUGAAUUAGAAUUGUUGUUUGAUUCAAUUGUAUGUGUUGGGUUUUGGGGUAGUUAGGUUUUGAGUAAUCUCAUAACUUUUAUGUGAAUUUGAUGAAUUGGAUGAUAAUGUUCAAGUAUGUUGUUGAUUGAUGUUAAAACAUGUUAGAAUAGUGUUAUAACAUGUAAAUUGGUGUUGUUUCGAUGUAUAAUUCGUAUUGGUACGAGAUAGAAAUCAUGGA